UGGGGAAUAUUGCACAAUGGGCGCAAGCUUGAUGCAGCCAUGCCGCGUGUAUGAAGAAGGCCUUCUGGUUGUAAAUUACUCUCAGUCGGGAGGAAGGUGUUAAGGUUAAUAAACUUACCAAUUGACGCUACCGACAGAAGAAGCACCGGCUAACUCCGUUCCAGCAGCCGCGGUUAUACGGAGGGUGCAAGCGCUAAUCGGAAUUACUGGGCGUAAAGCGCACGCAGGCGGUUGAUUAAGUCAGAUGUGAUAUCCCCGGGCUUAACCCGGGAAAUGCAUCUGAUACUGGUCAGCUAGAGUCUUGUAGAGGGAGGUAGAAUUCCAUGUGUAGCGAUAAGAUGCGUAGAGAUGUGGAGGAAUACAGGUGACGAAGGCGGCCCCCUCGACAAAGACUGACGCUCAGGUGCGAAAGCGUGGGGAGCAAACAGG
rnacentral:rRNA from 1 species